rnacentral:rRNA from 1 species
UACGUAGGGGGCAAGCGUUGUCCGGAAUCAUUGGGCGUAAAGAGCGUGUAGGCGGCCCGAUAAGUCCGCUGUGAAAGUCCAGGGCUCAACCCUGGGAUGCCGGUGGAUACUGUCGGGCUCGAGUCCGGAAGAGGCGAGUGGAAUUCCUGGUGUAGCGGUGGAAUGCGCAGAUAUCAGGAGGAACACCAAUAGCGAAGGCAGCUCGCUGGGACGGUACUGACGCUAAGGCGCGAAAGCGUGGGGAGCGAACAGG